rnacentral:sRNA from 1 species
GGCGUCUACCUGCCGAAGCCUUUUGCAGCGACUCUAAAGACUUGCACCAGUCCGCCGCGGGCAACAUCAUGAUCUCACUGGGACUCCGCCCUGCCUACCAGGCGUGGAGACCAGCGGCCUGUGUGAAAUAGGUUCACAGAUCAAACAAUGGUGGCUGACCAGCUGAACUGGCGGUUAAGAUAUGACCGGUCUCCGCUGUAACCAGCCGGAGAACACACGUUCCGUAGGUGAACCUGCGGAAGGAUCAUUACAGAGUUAGGGUCUUCAUGGCCCAACCUCCAACCCCAUGUGUACCUUACCAUUGUUGCUUUGGCGGGCCCGUUGGUGUAAUCCACCGGUGGCCACACGCUGCCGAGCGCCCGUCAGAGACCCAUCAAACCCUGUUAACUGUGUAGUCUGAGUACCAAUAUAAUAAUUAAAACUUUCAACAACGGAUCUCUUGGUUCUGGCAUCGAUGAAGAACGCAGCGAAAUGCGAUAAGUAAUGUGAAUUGCAGAAUUCAGUGAAUCAUCGAAUCUUUGAACGCACAUUGCGCCCUUUGGUAUUCCGAGGGGCAUGCCUGUUCGAGCGUCAUUACACCACUCAAGCUCAGCUUGGUAUUGGGCUCCCAUCCCUUGCGGACGGGCCCGGAAAUCAGUGGCGGCGCAGCCCGGCUUCAAGCAGCAUUAGUUUACCUUUCGCUUUGGAAGCCGGGCCUGGGCCGGCCAGACAACCCCCGAUUUUUUCUAAGAUUGACCUCGGAUCAGGUAGGGAUACCCGCUGAACUUAAGCAUAUCAAUAAGCGGAGGAAAAGAAACCAACAGGGAUUGCCUCAGUAACGGCGAGUGAAGCGGCAACAGCUCAAAUUUGAAAUCUGGCCCUUUCAGGGUCCGAGUUGUAAUUUGUAGAGGAUGCUUCGGGUACGGCUCCGGUCUAAGUUCCUUGGAACAGGACGUCAUAGAGGGUGAGAAUCCCGUAUGUGACUGGCCGCCACGCCCGUGUGAAGCUCCUUCGACGAGUCGAGUUGUUUGGGAAUGCAGCUCAAAAUGGGUGGUAAAUUUCAUCUAAAGCUAAAUAUUGGCCAGAGACCGAUAGCGCACAAGUAGAGUGAUCGAAAGAUGAAAAGCACUUUGGAAAGAGAGUUAAACAGUACGUGAAAUUGUUGAAAGGGAAGCGCUUGCAAUCAGACUUGCCCGCAGGUGAUCAGCCGGUAUUCUUACCGGUGCACUCGCCCGUGGUCAGGCCAGCAUCGGUUUGGGCGGCUGGAUAAAGUCCCCCGGAACGUGGCUCCCUUCGGGGAGUGUUAUAGCCGGGGGUGCAAUGCAUCCUGCCCGGACCGAGGACCGCGCU